GGCGUGGUGGUGCACACCUGUAGUCCUAGCCACUUGGGAUGCUGAGGCAGGAGAAUCGCUUGAACCCGGGAGGUGGAGGUUGUGGUGAGCCGAGAUCGCACUUUUGUACUCCAGCCUGGGCAACGAGCAAAACUGCAGCUCAAAAAAAAAAAAAAGGUAUUUCAUGAAGAAAGUUAAGUUACAGCACUGUGGGGGGUUUUAUGUAAAAGUUGAAGCUAGAAUUACUUCAGCCAUGGAGUGCACCGAACACUAGCGAUAGCCAUGUGGACUUUUACCUAUAUAUAUUUGCGUGUGUGCAUGAUACCUCAGUAGUUAGGAACACAGGCUCUAGAGCCAAGCAGUCCGAGGCCCAAAUCUCAGCUUCACCAGCUCUGCCUUUGGACAAGUUUCUUCAAGUCUUUCCUCAUCUUUAAAUCUGAGAUAACAAUAGUAGCAAACCUCAAAAGGUUGCCGAGAGGCUGAGAGACUGAACACAGCACAAGGCUCAACAUUAGCGAGUUUUUGAUAAGUGGUAACUGUUCUGACAUCUGAAUGCCUGCUUUAUGCUAGGCUGCAUGUGGGGCACUAGGGAUAUAAGAUAAAAAGUACUGAAAUACGUCUUACAAGUUUUGAUAUGAAUGUAACUGGGGACAGCCACUCAGACUGCCGUCUUGGGGAAGUUUCCUAGGGAAAUAAUGUUUGAGCUGGGAGCUAAAAAUUAAAAAGACAUUUUUUUCCUUUUUGAGUCGGAGUUUUGCUCUUUUUGCCCAGGCUGGAGUGCAGUGGCGCGAUCUCGGCUCACGCCAACCUCCGCCUCCCGGGUUCAAGCGAUUCUCCUGCCUCAGCCUCCCUAGUAGCUGGGAUUACAGGCGCCCGCCAUCACACCUGGCUAAUUUUUGUAUUUUUAGUAGAGACAGGGUUUCACCAUGUUAGCCAGGCUGGUCUUGAACUCCUGACCUCAGGUGAUCCAUGCACCUCGGCCUCCCAAAGUGCUGGGAUUACAGGCGUGAGCCACCGUGCCUGGCCAAAUUUUUUUGUAGAGAUGGGAUCUUGCUGUGUUGCCCAGGCUGGUC
rnacentral:lncRNA from 1 species